rnacentral:lncRNA from 1 species
CGGCUCUUGUACAUGGACGUGAGCGCAUGAAGAGGCAAUUUCGUGCUCGAUCCACAGGUAGGGUGGUAGGCCAUCACCCGGAGCCGGACCAGGCGCGCCUCUGCGUCAACGACGCCAUCGGGCGAUUCGGCACCCCAAGGCCACGCCCCGAGCGUCUCGCCCUGCGGCGCGCACGAUACGACCACGCCCAGGAGCGGCUCGCGAUCAUAGUUGGUGAACCGGAAUCUGGCCCCGAACACGAGCCCCUGCCACGCGACAGUCGAUGCGCCUCCUUUAGGAUCGAUGUUGUCGACAGCGAUGCGCAAGCGGCGCCAGCGGCGCCAGCGGCCGCCGUCCUCCCCAGCAACAACGUCGCCCACGGCGCUAACGGGCUCAUAAUGUGCAACCGGCAUCAGGUCUGCGUGAUUGGUCGAGAUGGUAUCGCGAUCAGCCUCGUUGAGUGUGCCCAGGGUGCGUUCGAGGAUGGCCCUUUUGAGGGGCGGUUCGACGUCGCUGGCCAACACGUGGAGCACAAAGGCGCCGAGUUGCCCGAUGGCAUCGGCGCACGGAUCGCUUUUCACUUGGGCGAGCAAUUGCGCAAAGGCAGAAUCAAUGAGCGCGUCCGUAUAGGCCGCAGGCAUGCCCAAAAAGAGCGACGCCUGAACGACGUCAACGGGAUCCGAACAAGUUUCAAUCUGAUCGACGCACGACGGCAUAUAGAGGCACUUGACCAGGAACGCGAGACUCUCGCUCGAAAAGGGGAAAGUCACGGCGUAGACGAGACGAAAGAUGCGCUUGCCCUCGUCGUCCCUCUCCUGCACGCGAUCAGGGUCGGCGUGCUCAAACAGUCUGCCAAAGUAGGCGGCGCGAGCCAACACCGCCCGGUGGGCCUCGACGGCGCUAUCUGGGGACGCCCCCUUUGCGCUUGCUUGGAUGACGCAGUCGCAGUGCACUCGGCGCACGCUACCCAGAGACGCGCUCGGUAGAUGGGACAUGCGACCAUAGUCGUCGCCUUCAUCGUCGCUGCUGUCACUUAUCAUCGCUGCCGCCUUGCGUCCUUUUUCCUUAUUUUUUUUCUUGUUUCUGCUGUUGUUGCUGUUGUUGAGGACGAAAAAAAAGAGACCACAAGGCAGCCACGGG